rnacentral:lncRNA from 1 species
AGUAAUCCAAAGAUUUUCAUCUGGGAUUUUGAGUUACUUAGCGCAGCCAACCCCAGGUUUCCUUCCUUCCUUCCUUCCUUCCUUCCUUCCUUCCUUCCUUCCUUCCUUCCUUCCUUCCUUCCUUCCUUCCUUCCUUCCUUCCUUCCUUCCUUCCUUCCUUCCUUCCUUCCUUCCUUCCUUCCUUCCUUCCUUCCUUCCUUCCUUCUUUCUUUCUUUCUUUCUUUCUUUCUUUCUUUCUUUCUUUCUUUCUUUUUCUUUCUUUCUUUCUUUCUUUCUUUCUUUCUUUCUUUCUUUCUGUCUUUCUUCCUUCCUUCCUUCCUUCUUUCUUUCUUUCUUUCUUUCUUUUUUUUUUUGUUAAUCACAGAUUAG